UACGUAGGGGGCAAGCGUUGUCCGGAAUCAUUGGGCGUAAAGCGCGUGUAGGCGGCCCGAUAAGUCCGCUGUGAAAGUCCAGGGCUCAACCCUGGAAUGCCGGUGGAUACUGUCGGGCUCGAGUCCGGAAGAGGCGAGUGGAAUUCCUGGUGUAGCGGUGAAAUGCGCAGAUAUCAGAAGGAACACCAAUGGCGAAGGCAGCUCGCUGGGACGGUACUGACGCUGAGACGCGAAAGCGUGGGGAGCAAACAGG
rnacentral:rRNA from 1 species